UACAGAGGUCUCAAGCGUUGUUCGGAUUUACUGGGCGUAAAGCGCACGUAGGCGGAUCGUUAAUCGGGGGUGAAAUCCUGGAGCUCAACUCCAGAACUGCCUUCGAUACUGGCGAUCUUGAGUCCGGAAGAGGUGAGUGGAAUUCCUAGUGUAGAGGUGGAAUUCGUAGAUAUUAGGAAGAACACCAGUGGCGAAGGCGGCUCACUGGUCCGGUACUGACGCUGAGGUGCGAAAGCGUGGGGAGCAAACAGG
rnacentral:rRNA from 1 species